GGGUUGCAUUGUUAACAAAAAGAUAGCACCUUAUAACAAUAAACAGAACGUGAUAUCAAGCAGAAAAAAAUACAACAGACAUAUACUGGUGAAAAUAACAAUAUACUGACAGCGUACAUAAUUGCAAUAAUUAAAAAAACACAGUUGAUGUUGAUUUGACGGUGUAAAUGGUUUUGUUGUUGUUGGUUUGUUUUUUAAUGGAGGGGAUAAUCACUAAAUAAAAUCAGCUUCGCUGAACUUUAAUGCAAAUAGUAAUAUAAAUGAUAACCAAGAAACAAAAACGUGUACAAGUAGACUGAAAAGUUAUUGUAUAGUCUAAUAGUCUAGGAAUUAGUCAGUAUCCUCUUUCGAAUUCUUAUUUUCUUUUCAUUAAUUCAUUUUGCCAAAAAAUGAUUGGACCAAAAACAUAAAACUUCCCCUUAUAAACACACGUUAGAAAGACCUCCUUGUCGAUCUGGUUCUUAUGCAAGUGCACAACUAAACUAAAUAAACAAAAAUAUUUUAUAUAUAUCAAAUAAAUAACAAAUAUAUUUGAAGUUUUAGGUUUUUUUUCUGUGUAAAUAGUAUUGGUCUGGUUAUUGAGAAGUUCGAUUACAUAAUAAUUACAUAAACUCAUUUGCUACUUUAUCUUAUAAAAAUAAUGUAUUUAUGUCCUUAACCUUGACCAGGCUUCCCCAAAAACGGUUCAUAUUUAUCAGUUUUGCAAAAUAAAAGUACCUUACCUA
rnacentral:lncRNA from 1 species